rnacentral:rRNA from 1 species
UGGGGAAUAUUGCACAAUGGGCGCAAGCCUGAUGCAGCCAUGCCGCGUGUAUGAAGAAGGCCUUCGGGUUGUAAAGUACUUUCAGCGGGGAGGAAGGGAGUAAAGUUAAUACCUUUGCUCAUUGACGUUACCCGCAGAAGAAGCACCGGCUAACUCCGUGCCAGCAGCCGCGGUAAUACGGAGGGUGCAAGCGUUAAUCGGAAUUACUGGGCGUAAAGCGCACGCAGGCGGUUUGUUAAGUCAGAUGUGAAAUCCUCGGGCUCAACCUGGGAGCUGCAGCUGAUACUGGCAAGCUUGAGUCUCGUAGAGGGGGGGAGAAUUCCAGGUGUAGCGGUGAAAUGCGUAGAGAUCUGGAGGAAUACCGGUGGCGAAGGCGGCCCCCUGGACGAAGACUGACGCUCAGGUGCGAAAGCGUGGGGAGCAAACAGG